GACCUAUUUGCUCUGUCAUAUAAUUGUCAAAACCACGUUCAGGAAUACAGGUCUUGUGUACCACCAAGCUAUUAUAACGUUCAGCGGCCUCGGCACUAAUGAAUUUGCUCCUGUCAAAUGAGCUAGAAGAGGAGGCUGCGGCUUUAGUUCUCUUUUUAGGCGGCAUUGGACCUGUACAAAGGUAAAAACAGCAAACCAUGAGCAACAAACAGUAAUAAUGGACAAUAAGGCAAGGCUAAAAAUCUAGCCAUACGAGGAAAUUAUGGUCGAACGUGCAAGUGAUGUACUCUAAACCCAAUUGUCAACUCAUAAUCAUCUACAUGGCAAUUCCCACAUAAUUCAAAUAGCACAAUAGCCAAAAUAGCUCCUUCUACCCAACUAAGUUCACCUAGACAAUUCAUCAAACACAUUGAAUGCACCAAUUUUUCACCAAAAAAUUGCCUAAAAGUUGGGAGUAGUUCAGGCCACAAUCUUCACACAACACACAAAGUUCUUGACACUACGACAAGGCAAGACCUCCUCAUACAUAAUUAACAAAAAUAAGCACAUAAACGCAACAACUAUAAUGUAAGAGGAGCAAAUACAAAAGCCAUACCUGGAAUGUUGUUGUGGAAACUAAUUUAGAUGGAUGAAUGCACACUUAUCAACAAAGAGAUGUGGAAAAACAGCAAAGGGAAGUGGUAGGG
rnacentral:lncRNA from 1 species